GGCUCCUCGUACUUAAUAAAUAAGGAGUCGAGCCUGCCCAGUGAAUUUUUUUAACGGCCGCGGUACCCUGACCGUGCAAAGGUAGCAUAAUCAUUUGCCUUAUAAUUGAAGGCUCGUAUGAAUGGUUUGACAAGAAUAAAACUGUCUCUAUAUAAUUAAAUAGAAUUUUAUUUAUAGGUGAAAAAGCCUAUAUUAUAUUGAAAGACAAGAAGACCCUAUCGAGCUUUAAAAAAAUUAAUAAAAACUAAAAAAUAUUUUAUAUAUAAAGUCUUUUUAUUAAACAUUUUAGUUGGGGCGACUGAGGAACAUGUAAAGCUUCCUUUAAAAUUAUAUUUAUUAACAUAUUUAGAGCCAAAAUAUUUGAUUAAAGAAAAUAGUUACCGUAGGGAUAACAGCAUUAUCUUCUUUGAGAGUUCUUAUCGAAAAGAAGGUUUGUGACCUCGAUGUUGGACCAGAAUGUCCCGAAGAUGUAGCCGUCUUCAAAGGUUGGUCUGUUCGACCAUUAAAAUUCUACGUGAUCUGAGUUCAGACCGGCGUAAGCCAGGUCAGUUUCUAUCUUCAAUUUAUUUAAUAAAUUUAGUACGAAAGGACCAGUUUAUUGUAAUAUAUUUGCUAAAAUUGAGAAAGUAUAAGUAUAAAUUAAAUUUUUGUAAAAUACAUAAUCAAAUUAGCAAAAAUAAUGUAAUUGACUUAGGAUCAAUAGAUAUAGGUGAAAGUCCUUUAUUUGAUAAUUAAAUAUAAUAAAGAUGGCAGAAUUGA
rnacentral:rRNA from 1 species